rnacentral:misc_RNA from 1 species
GACCCCUAACUAGGAGUUCCCAACACCUCUGCAGAUAUAGAACUCUAGUCUGGCAUAACUAUACCAAAUAGAGGCCAUCUGCAAACAUCCUCAUCAUGGAGCACCACGGGGAAGCACGCAACUCUACACAAUAAUCUCAUGCCAGUACUGUAAUCUGUAACUUACAGAGCGAACAUUGAGAAUAUUGUAUAGUUACUACAAUACGUCCUGACAGACU